GACAGACUCCCCUACAGAUGUUAGUUCCCUCUCCAAAUUUGCUGUCAAGAUCCUAACCCCCAAGGUGACAGCAUUAGGAGGCAGACUCUUGGGGAGGCCAUUAAGUGCAGUGAAAUGCUGUGACCUUACAGAGGAAGUCCAUCUCCUAUCCACCACGUGAAGUCACAGCAGGAAGCUUCCUUCUACGGACCAUGACCAGACACUAAAUCUGUCAACACUUUAUCUUGGGUUUCUCAGCCUCCAGACUUGAGAAAUAAAUUUCUGCCAUGUGCAUGCAUCCUGGGAUAUGCUGUUCUGUUCCAGAAGCUCAUGUGGGCUAAGGCAAUGCCCAAGGCUACCAUGCCUGAGAAACAGACCUGGGACAAGGGUUUGGAAGGAAGUCACUUAUUUGCUUGUUGAUCCCAGGAACACUGAAAAGGGAGUUCAAGAAAACCAAACAAGGGAAGAAGGCACCCUGGGAAGGUUCUCAACCGUCUGCCUCUCAGUGGACAGGGGACUCCAUCUCACCAGGGACAACAGAGAAUAUGCCCCUGAGUUCCCCAGCUCCAGCAAUGCAAAGAGGCUUCUGCAAUUAUCCUCAGCUAUUGGUUGAUACUGUCCCUGGGUACUGACACCCAACAGUCAACCUGCAGUGUCUCUCUCCAUGAUUCAAGUCUUAGGAUGACUCCGAAUAGACUAAAGGUGAGGAGCUGACAAUACUUGCUGCAAACAGAAUGAGGUGUCUGUGAUCCUGAAUAAAUGUAAACAUGUAUC
rnacentral:lncRNA from 1 species